UAGGGGGAGCCGCCUGCCGCGGCUGAGAGGUCUCGACAACCGGGACGACCCCAAGAACCUGACCCGGGUCAUGCCGGCGUAGGGAAAGGU
rnacentral:ncRNA from 1 species